GACGAACGCUGGAGGCGUGCCUAAUACAUGCAAGUCGAGCGCAGGAAACUGACGGAACUCUUCGGAGGGAAGGCAGUGGAAUGAGCGGCGGACGGGUGAGUAACACGUAAGGAACCUGCCUCAAGGAUUGGGAUAACUCCGAGAAAUCGGAGCUAAUACCGGAUAGUUCAACGGACCGCAUGGUCCGCUGAUGAAAGGCGCUCCGGCGUCACCUUGAGAUGGCCUUGCGGUGCAUUAGCUAGUUGGUGGGGUAACGGCCCACCAAGGCGACGAUGCAUAGCCGACCUGAGAGGGUGAUCGGCCACACUGGGACUGAGACACGGCCCAGACUCCUACGGGAGGCAGCAGUAGGGAAUCUUCCACAAUGACGAAAGUCUGAUGGAGCAACGCCGCGUGAGUGAUGAAGGUUUUCGGAUCGUAAAACUCUGUUGUAAGGGAAGAACACGUACGAGAGGGAAUGCUCGUACCUUGACGGUACCUUACGAGAAAGCCACGGCUAACUACGUGCCAGCCGCCGCAGUAAAAC
rnacentral:rRNA from 1 species